CACAGGCCGGCCUGGCAGGGCUGAUGGGGGUGGUCACCCCUGUACGUCAGCCUCUGUUUUACGGGCUUGGGGCAAGGGACACUGAGCCAGACAGGGCCUCCCGAAGCAGCCUAGCUCUCCUCGUUCUAGAACACUAACUCCCAACAGCAGAGGCCUUGUCUUCGUGUUCGUUCUGGUGCCUGGAGCCCGGCCCAAUGCGUCACAGCCACCUCCUACGUUUGUUCACAUCACCAGUGAGCGAUGGGUGAGGAGCAGAGCGCACGCCCUGCCCGGGAGAAGCCCUCAGUCCACAGACACUGGGGGAGGAACCUGAAGAGGCGUGUGGAGGGCAGACACAAGUUGCAUCAGCAGCAAGAAGGAAGGGCCUUCUAGGUGGAGGAACACCUCCUAGGCGAGAGGCUCCAUGAUCCUUAUGGAUACCACUGCCAGAACCCUCUGGAUUCACCCAUUCGAUCCAGCUCAGCCCUGCAAACAUUUGGAGUACCUGCUGAAUGCCAGAUUCCCAGAGAUGCACGCUUCUCCAGUACUAAACAAAAUCUAUAUCCCCGUGAAUCCAGCCCUCAGCCUGAGCUUGCAGGCAGGACAGACAACGGCUGUGUCGUCAUUCAAGUGGUGGCUUGGCUUAAAAGAAACACUGGAAAGAACUGAGCGCAGGGGAGAACAGCCUUAGGGAUACUGAAGACAUGGCUCCUUGCUUUAGGGAUCCAAUCCCGAGUUGUUCCAGAGGCUGUUUCGAGACUCCUGCUGCUGCUGCUGCUAAGUCGCUUCAGUCGUGUCCGACUCUGCGACCCCAUAGACAGCAGCCCACCAGGCUCCCCCGUCCCUGGGAUUCUCCAGGCAAGAACACUGGAGUGGGUUGCCAUUUGUGACUCCUAGAGGAAACUGAACAAAGCAAACAGGUUCUCAUUUGCUUUGUAAAUUCUCUAACUGGAAGUCUUCAAGACUUCAAGAGAAGUACUGGGCAAAGGUGUGAGCAGUGAGGUAGUUUGUUGGGUAAAGGUUUCCAUUAGACACCGUCCAAGGAAUGUGUACCUUAACCCCUCUUCUGUGAAGUGGAAAGGAAACACAUUUUCUAAAAAC
ensembl:lncRNA